AAGCCCCUAAUUCCCUAAUCCCUUAGCGCUCAAGCAGACUAAUGGGCCGUACCUGCUUACCCAUUUUCCCCUUUCUAUUUUUCUAACCCUAGACUGCUUUGCUGUUGCUGAUUCACGACUACAAUAGCAGAGGGCGACAACGACUUCACGACCUCGGCGAGCGGCAACGACGGCUCCUCUCCUCGGCAUUGUUGACCUUCAUUCAGGUUCAUAACUUCUUCAUUCUUCAAUGUUGAGGUUUUAUGUAAUUCUUCAACUGCUUCUUUUAUCCUUUUUCACCUUAUGAUUUCAUUGGGUGGUUGGGUGGGUAAAGAUACUUGUUUUAUGAUUUGGAGCUAUAAUUUUUUGGAUUUAAACCCAAGCUACCCUACUUAGUGAACACUGCUCGGCUAUAAUCUGUUCUAGAAAGGGUUAACUUGUUUGUAAAAUUAAGUGUUCAGUUUUUCUAUAUGGUAAAAUUAAUUGGGUUAAGUGUUCUGUUUUCUGUUCUUUUCAAUAGUACUCGAAGGCAUAUUUUUGACCAACUUUGUUACUUACUAGUACUAAGUUAUGUUUUUAAUUGGUGUUGUUCUAUUUUUAGCGGGUUGGCCAUUGGAGGGGUUUUGUUUUUAAUUGGUUUUGUUUUAGUACUAAGUGUUCUAUUUAUUUUUAAUUGGUCUUGUUCAUUAAAUUAAGUCUUAAAUUUAACGAUGGUAGAUUGACUGAUGAAUAUAGUAGUUCUAUGAUUUCUGCAUUGCUUCAAAAACUGAGAAGUGAGAAACAUUCAUAUUGUUUAACUUUCUGUUAAAUUACAUGCUUAUUUAAGUGGGAGUUCUUCAUUGUUAUGUGCAAAUUAAGUGUUCUGUGCAUCUAGUGGGACAGUGGGAGUGUUAUAACUUAUAAUUGCAUCAUUAAUAGGGAUGGUGUAAUACCGAAAUCGUAUCGAAUCGUACCGAACCAAAUAAGAAAAUACAGAACUGUACCGAACUACUUUGGUACGGUAUUUGAUAUGCACAAUUGAUAUACCGAAUGCCGAAGUACCAAACCGUAAUUCAUAAAUAUCGUACCGAAUUCCCACCCCUACUAUCUGUAUACGGGUAACCUCGGGGUCAACAUAUACCUCGAGUUCUCGAUGAGUCAAACGAAGUAAGAAGUAUGAAUGUAUGAGAUAGAGACUGCAUUUGAGAAUUCUUUGAAUCGAGGCCGGAAUGAGGUGCUCGCCGCCUGGCCUAACAAGACAACACCCCCGAACGAGCUCAAGACCUCAGAAAGCACUACAAACGGUUGCACACGACUAACAGAGGGCCGUGAUCGCACUCAACCGAGUAUUACGGCGUGGAUCUCACCCGACGUCGAUAGCUUAUCAGUGAUUGAUGUACAAGGAGGAUUUUUACCUUUUUUAGAAUUCUGGUAAAAUUCCCCUACUAUAUAAAGGGGAAGUUUCUUAUUCAAUAGACACAUUGUAUCACGAAAGAUUCUUAUUUUAAUCAUAGUUCUUCAUACACACUUGGCUUCGAAUAUUGUUCAGUUUAGAUCCGAGCUCAGACUCAACAUCACAACUGGUUUGGUUAUUUAUUUUAUCUUUAAUUCGUUUAUCUAAC
rnacentral:lncRNA from 1 species